UGUCUACGGCCAUACUACCCUGAACGCGCCCGAUCUCGUCUGAUCUCGGAAGCUAAGCAGGGUCGGGCCUGGUUAGUACUUGGAUGGGAAACCAGAUGCUUAAAAAAGAAGUUAUAACAU
ensembl:rRNA 5S_rRNA 5S ribosomal RNA